rnacentral:rRNA from 1 species
AGUGAACGCUGGCGGUAGGCCUAACACAUGCAAGUCGAACGGCAGCACAGUAAGAGCUUGCUCUUACGGGUGGCGAGUGGCGGACGGGUGAGGAAUACAUCGGAAUCUACUUUUUCGUGGGGGAUAACGUAGGGAAACUUACGCUAAUACCGCAUACGACCUACGGGUGAAAGCAGGGGAUCUUCGGACCUUGCGCGAUUGAAUGAGCCGAUGUCGGAUUAGCUAGUUGGCGGGGUAAAGGCCCACCAAGGCGACGAUCCGUAGCUGGUCUGAGAGGAUGAUCAGCCACACUGGAACUGAGACACGGUCCAGACUCCUACGGGAGGCAGCAGUGGGGAAUAUUGGACAAUGGGUGCAAGCCUGAUCCAGCCAUACCGCGUGAGUGAAGAAGGCCUUCGGGUUGUAAAGCCCUUUUGUUGGGAAAGAAAAGCAGCAGGUUAAUACCCCGCUGUUCUGACGGUACCCAAAGAAUAAGCACCGGCUAACUUCGUG